rnacentral:rRNA from 1 species
GAUCUAGCAGUGGGGAAUCUUAGACAAUGGGGGCAACCCUGAUCUAGCCAUGCCGCGUGAGUGACGAAGGCCUUAGGGUCGUAAAGCUCUUUCGCUGGGGAAGAUAAUGACGGUACCCAGUAAAGAAACCCCGGCUAACUCUGUGCCAGCAGCCGCGGUAAUACAGAGGGUGCAAGCGUUAAUCGGAAUUACUGGGCGUAAAGCGCGCGUAGGUGGUUUGUUAAGUCGGAUGUGAAAUCCCCGGGCUCAACCUGGGAACUGCACCCGAUACUGGCAGGCUAGAGUACAAUAGAGGGGUGUGGAAUUUACUGUGUAGCGGUGAAAUGCGUAGAUAUAGGAAGGAACACCAGUGGCGAAAGCGACA